GUUGGUAAAUCUGGUGGGGCAAAAUGGAAGUCAAUGUCCGACUCUGAAAGGCACCUUUUCAAGCCAAAGCUGACAAAAGAAAGAAGGAAUAUGAGAAGAACUUGGACACCUACAACAAAAAACUUGCUGGAGGUGGUAAUGAUGAUGAUAAUGAGGAUUCUGACAAAUCUAAGUCUGAAGUCAAUGAUGAAGCAGAUGAGGAUGAAAGUGAUGAUGUAUGUUUUUUUAUAAAACAUAACGAUAUUGAUACUUAUUUUUUUUUUUUCAGUAUAUGAUUAACUUUUUUUAACAAAUGAAACUAAAUGUGGUUUUAAUUUGUGUUUUGU